UUCAAACUUAUCGAAAUAGUAACCCGUCAUCGUUCGAUCGAGGUCAAACUCUUCUCUUUUUGGCGAAGGCCCUAGGCCUUAAAAGGUGAUAUUUCAAACUUAUCGAAAUAGUAACCCAUCAUCGUUUGGUUGAGGUCAAAUUCUUCUCUUUUUGGCAAAGUCCCUUUGCCUUAAAGGGUGUUUUUUCGAACUUAUCAAAAUAGUAACCCGUCAUCGUUCGAUCGAGGUCAAACUAUUCUCUUGUUAGUGAAGGCUCUUGGCCUUAAAGUGUGUUAUUUCAAACUUUAUCGCAAUAGUAACCCGUCAUCAUUUGAUCGAGGUCGAACUCUUCUCUUUUUGGCGAAGGCCCUAGGCCUUAAAGGUUGUUGUUUCAAACUUAUCGGAAUAGUAACCCAUCGUGGUUCGGUCGAGAUCAAACUCUUCUCUUUUUGGCGAACGCCCUUGGCCUUAAAGGGAGUUAUUUCGAACAUAUUGAAAUAGUAACCCACCAUCAUUCGAUCGAGGCCAAACACUUCUCUUUUUGGCGAUGGCCCUUGGCCUAAAAGGGUGUUAUUUUGAACUUAUCAAAAUAGUAACCCGUAAUCGUUCGAUCGAGGUCGAACUCUUCUCUUUUUGGCGAAGGCCCUAGGCCUUAAAGGGUGUUAUUUCAAACUUAUUGAAAUAUAACCGUCGUCGUUCGAUCAAAAUCGAACUCUCCUCUUGUUAGAGAAGGCCCUUGGCCUUAAAGUGUGUUAUUUCGAACUUUAUCGAAAUAGUAACCUGUCGCCGUUCGUUCGAGGUCAAACUCUUCUCUUUUUGGCGAAGGCCCUUGGCCUAAAAGGGUGUUAUUUCAAACUUAUCGAAAUAGUAACCCGUCAUCGUUUGAUCGAGGUCAAACUCUUCUCCUUUUGGCGAAGUCCCUAGGCCUUAAAGGGUGUUAUUUCAAACUUAUCGAAAUAGUAACCUGUCAUCGUUCGAUCGUGGUCGAACUCUUCUCUUUUUGGCGAAGGCCCUAGGCCUUAAAGGGUGUUAUUUCAAACUUAUCGAAAUAGUAGCCCGUCAUCGUUCGAUCGAGGUCAAACUCUUCUCUUUUUUGGCGAAGGCCCUUGGCCUAAAAGAGUUAUAUUUCGAACUUAUCGAAAUAGUAACCCGUCAUCGUUCGAUCUAGGUCGAACUCUUCUCUUUUUGGCGAAGGCCCUAGGCCUUAAAGGGUGUUAUUUCAAACUUAUCGAAAUAGUAUCUUGUCAUCGUUCGAUUGAGGUCUAAUUCUUCUCUUUUUGGCGAAGGCCCUUGGCCUAAAAGAGUUAUAUUUCGAACUUAUCGAAAUAGUAACCCGUCAUCGUUCGAUCUAGGUCGAACUCUUCUCUUUU
rnacentral:lncRNA from 1 species